AACGAACGCUGGCGGCAGGCCUAACACAUGCAAGUCGAGCGCGCCCUUCGGGGUGAGCGGCGGACGGGUGAGUAACGCGUGGGAACGUGCCCUUUUCUACGGAAUAGCCUCGGGAAACUGAGAGUAAUACCGUAUACGCUCUUUGGGGGAAAGAUUUAUCGGAAAAGGAUCGGCCCGCGCUGGAUUAGGUAGUUGGUGGGGUAAUGGCCUACCAAGCCGACGAUCCAUAGCUGGUUUGAGAUGAUGAUCAGCCACACUGGGACUGAGACACGGCCCAGACUCCUACGGGAGGAAGAAGUGGGGAAUAUUAGACAAUGAAGGCAACCCUGAUCAAGCCAUGCCGCGUGAGUGAUGAAGGCCUUAGGGUUGUAAAGCUCUUUCAGCUGGGAAGAUAAUGACGGUACCAGCAGAAGAAGCCCCGGCUAACUCCGUG
rnacentral:rRNA from 1 species